rnacentral:rRNA from 1 species
UACGUAAGUGGCGAGCGUUAUCCGGAAUUACUGGGCGUAAAGCGUGCGUAGGCGGUUUAGUGUGUGGGAAUUGAAAGCCCGGGGCUCAACUCCGGAUCCGGUUCCCAAACUGCUAGACUCGAGAGUAUCAGAGGAGAGCGGAAUUCCCGGUGUAGCGGUAAUAUGCGUAGAUAUCGGGAGGAACACCGGUGGCGAAGGCGGUUCUCUGGGCCUGUACUGACGCUGAGGAGCGAAAGCGUGGGGAGCGAACAGG